AGAUCUGUAAGCUCAAAACGGUAGAGCGCUCGAUACCAUUCGCAAUGAGUGGAGCGAGAGGUUGGUGGUUCGAAUCCAUCCGGAUCUA
rfam:Gossypium raimondii Chr07_contig_512, whole genome shotgun sequence.